GGGGCCGCGACCUGCCAGGGCCAGAGCUGAGCUCUAGCCCUGCCGAGGACGCACCCGAGCCGGUAACGAAUGCGGCAGAACUCCUGAGACUCAGACAUGGAAGACAGAAGACCUCAUCUGGAGGCCACACCCAGGAAUCCCCCUACCAACCACAGAGGUCCUAUAGAUGGAGAAGUACCACCAAGAGCUAGAAAUCAAGCCAAUAACCCAGCAGCCACCAACCAUGCUGGAAGGCAUCCUAGGGCCAGCAACCAUGCUGCUCCUUUCCGACAGAGGGAGGAGAGAUUUAGGGCUAUGGGCAGGAACCCACAUCAGGGAAGAAGAAACCAUGAAGGGCAUACCAGUGAUGAAGCUAGAGACCAGAGACAAAGC
rnacentral:lncRNA from 1 species